rnacentral:rRNA from 1 species
UAGCGGGGGGGGGCAAGCUUGUUCGGAAUUACGUGGGCGUAAAGGGCUCGUAGGCGGCCAACUAAGUCGGACGUGAAAUACCCCAGGCUCAACCUGGGAACUGCGUCCGAUACUGGAUGGCUUGAAUCCGGGAGAGGGAUGCAGAAUUCCAGGUGUAGCGGUGAAAUGCGUAGAUAUCUGGAGGAAUACCGGUGGCGAAGGCGGCAUCCUGGACCGGCAUUGACGCUGAGGAGCGAAAGCCAGGGGAGCAAACGGG